GUGAAUUCUGACAUGCUGUUGGUGAAAUGCUGGGAAUUGCCUUAAAAAAGAAAGGAUAUUGUUGAGGCAGAGACAACAGCUUUUGAAGCAAUUUUCUGGCGCACACAGCUUCAGAUAAACAGAUAACUGUCCAAAAGCAGAACGGAUCCUUGAAAUCUUUGAUUCAAGACCAUUGACUUCCUAGAAGGAUGAACUUAGCUCCAACACAGCCUGAUGAGGGCUAAAGGACACUCACCAGCAAGGACAUCCAAAAGAUCAGUCUGAAGGAGGAGAAAAGUAAAUAAAUACUGAAGUGAGAUAAAUAGAUACUGCCUGAGUAGGCAAGAAGACAGAGAGAAAAAAUCUUGGAAGUCUGUUGCAUCGAAUGGG